UACAGAGGGUGCAAGCGUUAAUCGGAAUUACUGGGCGUAAAGCGCGCGUAGGCGGUUUUUUAAGUUGGAUGUGAAAUCCCCGGGCUUAACCUGGGCACUGCAUUCAAGACUGGGAGACUUGAGUUUGGGAGAGGGUGGUGGAAUUUCCGGUGUAGCGGUGAAAUGCGUAGAUAUCGGAAGGAACAUCAGUGGCGAAGGCGACUGCCUGGCCCAAAACUGACGCUGAGGUGCGAAAGCGUGGGGAGCAAACAGG
rnacentral:rRNA from 1 species